rnacentral:rRNA from 1 species
GGUGACGAGCGGCGGACGGGUGAGUAAUGUCUGGGAAACUGCCUGAUGGAGGGGGAUAACUACUGGAAACGGUAGCUAAUACCGCAUAACGUCGCAAGACCAAAGAGGGGGACCUUCGGGCCUCUUGCCAUCAGAUGUGCCCAGAUGGGAUUAGCUAGUAGGUGGGGUAACGGCUCACCUAGGCGACGAUCCCUAGCUGGUCUGAGAGGAUGACCAGCCACACUGGAACUGAGACACGGUCCAGACUCCUACGGGAGGCAGCAGUGGGGAAUAUUGCACAAUGGGCGCAAGCCUGAUGCAUCCAUGCCGCGUGUAUGAAGAAGGCCUUCGGGUUGUAAAGUACUUUCAGCGGGGAGGAAGGCGAUAAGGUUAAUAACCUUGUCGAUUGACGUUACCCGCAGAAGAAGCACCGGCUAACUCCGUGCCAGCAGCCGCGGUAAUACGGAGGGUGCAAGCGUUAAUCGGAAUUACUGGGCGUAAAGCGCACGCAGGCGGUCUGUCAAGUCGGAUGUGACAUCCCCGGGCUCAACCUGGGAACUGCAUUCGAAAC